ensembl:vault_RNA Vault Vault RNA
GGGCCUGCUUUAGCUCAGCAGUUACUUCGACAAUGCUUUCUAUGGUAGAAAACAACCACUCUGCGUGGCUUCAGACCUGCGGGUGCUCUCCGGCCCCUUU